rnacentral:rRNA from 1 species
AUUGAACGCUGGCGGCAGGCCUAACACAUGCAAGUCGAACGAGUGGCGGACGGGUGAGUAAUGUCUGGGAAACUGCCUGAUGGUGGGGGUUAACUACUGGAAACGGUAGCUAAUACCGCAUACCAUCGGAUGUGCCCAGAUGGGAUUAGCUAGUAGGUGGGGUAAAGGCUCACCGAGGCGACGAUCCCUAGCUGGUCUGAGAGGAUGACCAGCCACACUGGAACUUGGACACGGACCAGGCGCCUACGAGAGGCAGCAGUGGGGAAUAUUGCACAAUGGGCGCAAGCCUGAUGCAGCCAGGCCGCGUGUAUGAAGAAGGCCUUCGGGUUGUAAAGUACUUUCAGCGGGGAGGCGUUACCCGCAGAAGAAGCACCGGCUAACUCCGUGCCAGCAGCCGCGGUAAUUC